GCCCCUGUAGCUUAACGGAUAAAGUGACGGUCUUCGGAACCGUUGAUGGGGGUUCGAAUCCCUCCAGGGGCGCCA
rnacentral:tRNA from 1 species